CCUGGUGGUUCCUCCCCGCUGCUCGCGGCGCGGCUCCUGGUGGUUCCUCCCCGCUGCUCGCGGCGGGCGUCAUAGAGCGCGGGGGGUUCGCCGGCGGCCUAGAGAGGCUCGACGCGCUGUGCGAUAAAUGGAAUUAGAUUAUGAAGAACUAUUAAUUCCAGGGAAAAGAAAUGUGAACUUUAACAUAUUUGCAGUGAUAAGUCAUUGGAUACCACUGAUUUGGGUGAGCAGCCAGAUUAUCCAUGAGAAACUGAUUAGUGUAUUCUGUCGAGCAAACUAAGGUAGGUUGUUAAAGUAAUACAACCAAUGAAUUAUAGCUCUCUAUAUUUUAGUCCAUGUGUAGACCACUCCCUGUUUAAUUACUGGUUGGGCCAUAUGUUUACUUUGGCCAAUGGGACAUUAGCAAAUGUAAUGCAAGCAAAAGCUUAAAAAGAAUUUGCACAGGGCAUCCCUGAAACUGCCAUGUGAAGAAGGGCAAGCUGACCUUUGGAGGAUAAGUACACAGAAAGCAGAGACGAGCCAUCUCAACAGACUCCAUAGACCAAAUAGCCCAGCCUGUGCACCAGGAGACCAUAGUUUCAUUAGUUACCCAAGACAAGAGCAGAAUUGCCUAAUGACCCCAGCCCAAAUUGCUGACCCACAAAAUCAUAAGCAAAUAAAGUGGUUAUUUGGUGGUA